GUAAAAAACAUACAAAACGACAUUUCCUUGCUAUUAUUACUAUAAUGCACCUUUUAAUGAAUAGUGAAUCGAUAAAUCUGAUUGGACACCGGAUGUAUGAUGGGCGGGGCUUAGUGAUAUGCAUUGAUUUUGAUUGUAAAUACAGGUAGAACAUUCAAUAGAGGUAGUAUCAUGCAUCAAUACAGAGGACAACAAGCGAAGAUUUGAUGAAUACUGAGUUUAUUUAUUUUUCUACCGACAGUACAUCGAGUUAUACUUUUAAAGGGACCUAUGUGAUUUUAAAGUUGAAAGCCGUUCUAUAAACAAGUCAUUGUCGGUAUCAAAUUCUACUAGAAGAAAUGUGGGAGAAAAUCCUCGGAUUAAAAAGUAAAAAGGAUUAUCUAGUAUAUAAUAUGAUUAGAACUUUGGAUUAUCCGACUGUUGAUUAUUGACAAAGUGUUUUAUCUGAAAAGUAAAUAUAAUUUACAGAGAAAAUGAGAAUUGUCAGUCCGUACCUGUGAAACACAUAAGUGGCGAAACGAUAACAUGGUAUCAUCUGAGGAAGCGAUCAUGUAAUGUAACGAUGUCUUCCAAGUGUUUAUCAAUAUUACUAACUGUGUUAAUGAUAUCAAACUGUAACGGAGUACCUGUCAACUACGCUAUUGAUGAGGAGAAGGGAACAGAUUACUAUUUAGGAAGAAUUUCGGACGGCGCUAAACUGAGAAAUUUCACUGGAAUAUCAAGCGAUGCCGAAUUUGAAUCAUUAAGGUAUAAUUUACUUAGUAGUGGCAAUCCUGAUGCUCAGUUCUUCACAGUAAAUGAAAGAACAAGUGAUUUAUACACAACAAAGACAAUAGACCGAGACGAAUUAUGUAGAUAUUCAGAUACUUGUAUAUUACAGUUUGAGGUAGCUGCCGAUACCUCUGCUAGCGAUUUCUUUACAAAAAUUAACAUCAUCGUAAAUAUUCUUGACAUUAAUGACAAUGCGCCAUCUUUUCCGUCAGAAGUAGUGAAUCUGGCACUAUCGGAAGCCACAGUAUUAGGUACUUCCGCUUGGAAAGGAGGCGCUGAUGAUAGAGAUCAUGGAACAUUUUCAGUUCAGCAGUACCAAUUGUUACCCACCGACACGCCUUUUGCAAUUGAAACAGAAUUUUACGCAGACGGAAGAACCCAGGUAACUCUUAAAGUUAAUCAAAAUCUCGACAGAGAAAUAAACAAUUCAUUUACAUUGACAAUCACGGCAGUAGAUGGCGGUGUUCCGCCUCAAACAGGCUCAGUUACUAUAAAUGUUCAAAUAAACGAUAUUAAUGACAACGCACCAAAAUUCGCAAAAUCUAUUUAUAAUAUUACUAUCAACGAGGAUCUUCCCGUAAACACCGUUAUUCUCAAAGUACAUGCUAACGACCCGGAUGAAGGUUCAAAUGGCGAAGUUACAUACAAGUUGAGUACUUUGCAAUCAGCAGACAUUUUUAAAUUGUUCAAGAUUGACUUACAAACGGGUGAUAUACGUAUUACACAAUCAUUGACUCAGGAAGAAAGCAAACAGUUUAAAAUCAUCGUGGAAGCAACCGACAAGGCAUCAUCGCCAUUAACAUCGCAGACUCAGGUCAUAAUACACGUUCUUGAUACUCACAAUACAGCACCGGAAGUGACGGUUACUACGAUAUCGUCGAAAAUCAACGGUGAAUAUAUUGAAUAUUCCGAAAAUGCUAACAUUGGAAUUACCAUGGCAAUAGUUUUAGUUACUGAUCAUGAUAGUGGUUACAAUGGUGCUGUGACGUGUACUCUUAACGACGACCAUUUCUAUUUAAAAUCUGAAGGAGACAACGAAUACAAUAUAGUAUUAGGGAAUAGUUUGGAUCGAGAAAUCAAUGAAUGGCAUGAAAUUGUAACAACGUGCAGUGACGCUGGAUCGCCGAGACUUAGUUCGUCUGCCAGUUUUCGUCUGCACGUGCUUGAUGUUAAUGAUGUCCCACCGGUAUUUACACAAGUUUUGUAUAAGAUCAACGUUGAAGAAAAUGGACCCAAAAGUGUAAGUGUAGUUCAGGUUCAUGCAAACGACAAUGACGUCACAGCAGACCAGAACGUUCGGUACAGCUUAGAGCUUGCAGAGGAUUACAAAGAUAUAUUCAGUAUAGAUAGUACGAAUGGACUUAUUUACGUAGAGCAAUCUUUAGACCGGGAAACUUAUCCAACUAUUACUUUUAAAGUACUUGCUACGGAUAGUCAACCGCAACCUUUAACAGGAAGUGCUAUGGUGGAAGUAACUGUACUUGAUGCCAAUGACUAUGACCCGGUGUUUACGCCAUCGGAAUUCCAGUUUACGGUACCAGAAAAUCGUCCACCAGAUAUUUCUGUUGGUCGUGUUGUGGCUGUUGAUGCAGACAGUGGUAUAAACGCAGAACUACAAUACACUUUAUUGCCCAUGAGCAGUGAAGCCCCACCCUUCAGAGUACUGAUGAAUGGUACAAUAUUAACAACGAUAUAUUUUGACCGGGAAAUGACAGCCCAGUACACAUUUUCUGUAAUGGCAUCUGACAAAGGCUCGCCAUCACGUAGUAGCACAGCAACAGUAAUUGUCAACGUUCAGGAUGAAAAUGACAACCCUCCUAUAUUCAUUUUUCCAGGACAGGAAACAGAUGAAAUUAGAGUAUCGUAUCAGUCCUUACCCAAUACUGUCAUAGCAACGAUUCAAGCAUACGACCCCGAUAGCAGCUUUAAUUCUCAUAUUUCAUAUAUUAUGAAUGGAUCUAACAUUUUAGAAAAUUUCGAAUUAAAUACUCAUACUGGACAGUUUUCAGUGACAUCACAACUUGACCAGUCAGACAUUGGGACCUAUGAUCUCAUUUUAACUGCGGUAGACAACGGCGAACAAGAGCAUCAACGAAGUGUAAAAUUAGUUAUAAUUGAUAAAGCAACCGUGGCGGCCAGUCAAUCAGAAAGCGAGAUAAAAUAUUUUGCCAUUGCAGUUGCGAUAUCUUGUAUAACUAUUGUUUUAUCAGUUUUAAUUGUUUUGGCGAUUUGUUUGAUCAAGCGAAAAGAACGUCAACAUCAUGAAAAGAUAGCAGAGAGUGUAACAACUUGUUCGUCACUGGAGACGGACAGCGAAGGUUCCGAUAUUCGCUUCGGUGAUGUGUGUACCCGAGGCAUCCUGCACAAAUCAAGUACCAACUCCCUGAAGAGAAAUGACCAGUCCAGUAAACCUAAUCCUAUAAAGAAACCAUUCACAACAGUGGUGAGGAUUAACUUUUAUUUUUAUUUCAAGUUUAUAAUCUUUAUUAGAACUUACGUUUUUGUACGAGUUGUAACGUAUUUGUUGAUACAAUAAUAAUCCUAUGGAGUAAACUUGAUCAAAUUUAUUGUGGGCUAGGACUUAACAACUUGUCACUUUUUAUAAUUCAGAUAAAUAUUUUGAAAUGAAACAUAAAAUGUUUUGGGAAAAGAUUUAAGUUUUUGAAUAACAUGUUUUUAUAAUGAUUAAUAGACCCAACUUAUUGUCGUCUGAAAUUGAAAAAAAACUUCAUUUACAAUAAAAUUGAUAAUAAGCAGAUAAUACAUGUAUGAUUCAUUAUAAACUGAGUAAUAAAUAAAGGAUCAAUAAGUCAUUAAAUUUAGAAUCCGACUUAAAAAUUGAGGAUUUUCGGAAGACAAAAAAUUACCGAAUGAAUGUGGCGCUAUUUAUUGCAAUGAAUAAUGAAUGUAAUAAUCGAUUUUCGUUUAGAACAUCUAUUUAAUGUUUUUAAAGAUAAGUGAAGAAGCUCCGAGGUUUAUGACAUUUCAUGCACUAUGAAAUUUUAUUGAUUACGAAAGGUUGUGUUUCUGUCUGUUGCUAUCAUCACUGGUACUGAUUUUUUUUAAAUACAGAACGGGAAAAAAUAAAGGCAGAAACUCAAAUCUUUUUUUUUUAAUUUUGUACAAUUUUAGUUCAGUUAAUACAAGCUUCAGUAAAAAUUAUCUAGUCCUUUUUAUUAAAAUUCAAGCUAAAGAGGAAUAUAAUGAUGGAAAAAAAAUAUCUGACACAGCCAGAAAAUAAGAAGGAAAAGCUCUUAUUGAUUUCAACUCAAUAUCCAUGACUAAAUGUAGACACAAUUUAUCUCGAUUCUUAGUCGUUACUGCAGUAGAAAAGAAAGCUCAUAAUAAAAAUUAGAAGGGCGUCAGUGAUGGUUUUUAAAAAAGAAAUAAAAAAUACAAUUUAUAGUUUAAUAAAAAAUGCUAAGUGUAUAUUUUCAGGGUUGUUAAAUGAUUCAAACCCAUUUCUCAUAAUUAUUUAUUGAAAGGUUAUUGAAUAAAUUAGGACUGUAACAAGAGAAUAUGUAAUGGGAUAGGUAAAAUAUACCCUAAUUAUUGAAUUAAAUCUUGCCUUGUCAACUUCUGUCAAAAUUACUUGUAUUUUACAUAUAACAAAGUGUUCAAUCCCCCAAUUUCUGAUCAUUAUUAUGUAUAUUAAUUACAUAUUGUCGCCAUACAAAACAUUUUCUUGUUACAAGAUAACAGUUUGACAACUUGACAAAAUGAUUUUAGAUAAUUACAUUAUUUUGCCAAUUUCAACACAUUUUUACGAUAAACACAACCUAUACCUAUGGAUUUCCCAUGUUAUUAGUCCAACAAAAUGUUUCAUUAUAGUUCAUAUAAUUUUCUUUCAAAAUAUAACACUGGUGCAAAUAUUAUAGUAAUGCUUCCUGAAGCUUAAAAUAUUCUCAUGGUUAAAAUUAAAAUAUGUAAUCCCUGAUCUACAAACCAGUUACAAGUUCCAAAAUUUUCGCAUUCAGUCGUUGUUUCACAACGGUAUACAUAUACAUAUUAAUAAAAGGAUUUAAAACAAGAGACUGCCAAUACAUAACUUCCAAAUUAAAACAAAUGGCAACAAAAGUCAGUUUUACAAAACAAUAAGUCCAUUUGAACGAUUUCAAAUGAAAAGAAAUAGUACAUUAUGAGUCAUUCUAGAUGGUUGCAAACCAUCUGAUGUGAAUUGAUAAAGAUAUCAAAAUCUUUCAUCUUUCAUCAUUCAUUAUCAUUAUGCCACACUUUCCUUAGCACCUUUAUGGCUUUACCCAUAUAUAUUGUAAACGCGGUCUGCUGUUGGCCAUUCACGAGCCAAGAUUCACGUUAUGUGGUCUUUUCUGAUUAUCCUACCUGUUCAGAAAAACCUAUGCAUCUUUAAAAUUCUAGUAGAAAAGAACAGACCAAAUACAUUAAUGACAUUUUCAUUUUGACUAUGAAGAAUUUUAAAUCCACUUAGCAUAUGCAACUUUUAGGUUUUGAAUAUUGUUGAGUAGAAAGUCUUAGUAUUCCACCAUUUUAACAGAAUAUAUUACAAUUAAAUAACAUUUUUAGGUAUCUGUUGAUGAAGUAAUACCGGAAGUUAUAUCAGAUUCUGUUGAAAUCUGGGACUGGGCAGAUAGUGAAUACAGCAGGAACACAGGACAGUCGUUACCACGUGACCUAGAACCCUUUUCCACAUUUUCCAGUACAACAAAACAGAAGAAUAAAGUUCAUUGGCAGGCUAGUCAGUGCUAAGGUAUGUAUAAUAUAUAAAAUAAGUCAAGGACGAGAAAAUUCUUCUGUCAAAAGUGUCCUAUUAACCAAAGUCUUUUGUUUAAUACGAAAGUCAAUGAAAUAUAAAAUUUAAUCACACUUUGUACUCGAAGUCCAUAUAUGCAUGUACAGGGAGACAUGAUACACUAUCUGGAUACAUUAUUCUAACUCAUGGCAAGUCUUUCCUCUGAUACCUUAAUUGCUAAGCACAGAAGCAGCAACCACCAAUUUUAAAGUCGCGCUUUGGUUUGAGUCGACAGUUUUAGAAACCCCGAACUUCCGCUAUAGAAACAAACGAGACCACGAAACUACGGAGGUGCAUGGUGAAUUUUCCGUUUCUUACUAUAUUUUUAGGAAGAAAAUAUCAAUUAUUACCAAUGUAAAGAAAUGUUAAGAAAAUAAGAAAAAAUAUUUGGCGCUGUAAUUCUCAACCGUGGACAGAUGCUAAUUUUUAACAAAAGUUCGUGUUGUGCCUACUUUAUUUUAUUAUUUAACGAUCUAUAUUUGAACAGUUUAAUGUUUGAACAAUUCAUCCGUUUAAAAACUUUACAAAAAGGUGAUAGUCGAUAACUAUACAAAAAAAAUGAAGUAGCAAAAAACCUAAAAGCGCAAACAAUAUACCCAUUACUGUUAUAAACAGGUAUAUCUUGAAACACAAUACGAAAUAGGAUUUGCUACCUCUAUGAAUAAAAUGUCUCCGGUUUUUCAGUUUACUUUGAAGUUCCUUAACUAUUAUGGUAUAAAGAGAAAUUCUGUUGAUAAAUACAUCGACAAACAAACCCGGUAUUAAGCGGCCAUUAGGCGCAUUGAUUUCUACUCUAAUGGCCACUGUUCCAGGAUUUGUUGCAGGGAUUUGUCUAUUGACGAGAAAGGAUGAGAUUUGUUUACAUUACCAUUCAGAUAUUUAUGUUACAGUGUUAGUAUUUACUCACAUUCAGUCUAUGCAAUCAGUUUUCAAGAUCGAUUUUAAAAUUCAUAUAAAUAAAUGCAUAAUGCAAAUGAAUCGUGAUAUAUAUCAGGGAUUAUAUAAAACAAGCCUAUAUGUCACAGGCACUUGUCUCAGAAUGUUUUUUUUUCUGAUGUUAUACCUUAAUGUGUGAUAUUAAGGUAUAAGGGAAAUUUUUGUCUGAGACAAUUACCUGUGCUAUAUGUGCAUAGCGUAUAUAUACUGAUUGUUUUUUGCAGAACAAUAUUAAUUUUAAACGAUUUAGAUAGGAAUAAAAUAAAAAUGUAUCAAUAUUUAAAAGGAUAAAUAAAAAGCACAGGGACUCGGUUAGCAGAUUAAAAUUUUGUAAAUCAAUGUUUUUAAUUUAUUUUUUAUUAUUUCCUGUCUAUUUGCAUUACUAUAUUAACGUAUUUAAAGUUGCCAUCACUAUUUCUUUGUUUUCUGGCAAUGUGCAGUUUACUAUCCAUAUCCAUAUACUGAAAAAACCUAAAGGGAUCUAAGUCGCCAUCUUGAAUUGCCUUCCCUACUUUAGAUAAAAAAUAAUUAAAAAUAUGAAUAAAUUACUAUAUACCUUACAACAGCCCUCAUUUUCUUCCGAAAUGAUUCUUCUAUAACAUGCAUAUUAUGAUUUGUGGAUUAACAGAACCCUUACGAAGUUUCAGUUGCAUUCGUGUCAGAAUAUUCAAAUUUCCCGGCGAAAGCAACGUAUCAUUCGGAAACUUCCGGGUUGAUGCGUUUACCACAACGCUAAAUCCUUAUAAACAGACGAGUGCUGUCCCUUGAUUUAUUAUUACAUAUCGAGCGCAAAGUUAACGAAUAGAACCUUUCUCCAAACGGGGUAACAUAAAUCAUUGACUUUUUCGAAGACACAUCAAAAAAAAAAAGAAGUUACUAAAAAAAUUGACACGUUCAAUGGGAUUUAUAAGGUUUACUAACAGUACCAGGAUAUAAAAAAGGGGGAGGGCCGGUUGGUAGGUCAACUUGGAGUAAUACUUGAAAAAGUAUAUUAACUUAUCAUACAUGCAUGUAUGAAGUUCAAUCGGAAGGCCCCUUUUCCAUAUACAUACAUACUCCUCUGAUUAUAUAAGUGUAACUUGUUGUACUGCAUAAAUCCAUGAUUUGAAAAAUAUCAGGAUGUCAGAAAUACAACCCGAUAGUUUGGGACAAUCAUUUGAUAUUUUCAAUGGGCGGAAGGAUAGGAGGAUAAUCUGAUAUUGAAACAAUACAUGCACUAGCUGUUCAAAGACAUUUUUGUUUGAUAUUUAAUUAAUAUGAAGGAUAUCUUGGUGUGGCGUAGGUAUGAAGUUAGGGGACAGCACUCGUCUGUUUAUAAGGAUUUAUCGUUGUGGUAAACGCAUCAACUCGGAAGUUUCCGAAUGAUACGUUGCUUUCGCCGGGAAAUUUGAAUAUUCUGACACGAAUGCAACUGAAACUUCGUAAGGGUUCUGUUAAUCCACAAAUCAUAAUAUGCAUGUUAUAGAAGAAUCAUUUCGGAAGAAAAUGAGGGCUGUUGUAAGGUAUAUAGUAAUUUAUUCAUAUUUUUAAUUAUUUUUUAUCAAAAGUAGGGAAGGCAAUUCAAGAUGGCGACUUAGAUCCCUUUAGGUUUUUUCAGUAUAUGGAUAUGGAUAGUAAACUGCACAUUGCCAGAAAACAAAGAAAUAGUGAUGGCAACUUUAAAUACGUUAAUAUAGUAAUGCAAAUAGACAGGAAAUAAUAAAAAAAUAAAUUAAAAACAUUGAUUUACAAAAUUUUAAUCUGCUAACCGAGUCCCUGUGAUAGUAAAAGAACUACAAGGAAAAUUCAAAAGGGAAAGAUAUUUAUCGAAUGGCAAAAUCAAAAGCUCAAACACAUCAAACGAAUGAAAUACGGGGUUACUUCCUAUUAUUGAGUAUACGGGGAUGUGCCAAAAAUAUGGGUCAUAAUUUUGCGAGAUUUUAUGUAAAAAUGACCCUCCUUUUUAAUGACAUCCUAUAUUAAAAUGCAUUUACGUUUGAUAAUUGUAUAUUGAUUUGGGGUAUGAUCUACAUAUAAUCCAACAAUCCAUGCGUAUAUAUAACGAUAAAAUAUAUGUGCACCAAACGAUGUCAAUUCAUCUAUAAAAACUUAAGGGUAGCUGGUAUAUUUAUGAAUUAUGAGUGAUGAUGAGUAAGUGCUUAUAUAAGCAUGGGUCAUAUUUUAAAUAUUGUAUAUAAGAGUAGGUCAUUCUUUCUUAAAUAUUUAUAUAACUAUAGGUACUGAAUUUCAGUGAAUGUUAUAUGAAAAUGGGUACGUUUUUUGAGGCAAAAAUGACACACCCCUACCAAAAAAAUAUCGAAGUUACACCCCCCCCCAACUGUCAUAUUCCUGACUAGUCCCAAAUAUAGAUGUGAGUUGAACGCCACCGAGUCAAAACCCAUUUUUUGCAUGUUAUAUUUUUGUUAACUAAACGAUUUUAAUUGACGAAUGUCUAUGUGGCACUGCAAGCAGUUAGAACCAUCACAUCACCUAAAACAUAUCAUCUGAUAGAUGUAGCUGUACAUCACAAUUGCGUUUUGGCUAAUUUCCGCAAUGAGCUGCGACGUAGUUUUAUCUUUGUAACGCCCAAUCUAAACUCAUUUUUUUAAAAACACAGAGCAAAAGCAAAAAUACUAGUUCGGUUUUGAGCAAUUACAUUUCUGUUUUGAUCUGCUUUCUUACGGAAGAAUGGAUGAUUGUUUAACAAUUCUUUCUCCUUGGAUUUUUUGUUGUUGUGUCGGUUGGAAAAUAUAUUAUUGAUAUACUUUUGUCAGUUAUGUAACUAUGUUGUCUGGUCUUUUGAUCUUGUUUUACAAACUGUUAUCAAGUUUGUUUGUUUUCUAUAGUCACACUAACGAACAAAAUGAAAACGAGGCAAUUAAUGAGAAACAUAGCAAUAAGAUGUACCGUUGUAACACAAUUAAUUCAUUAGUUUGAAUAGAUAUUGCAUCAUCGUUAUCAAGUUAUUUGAUAAAAUAUAAUAAUAUAAUAAAGUUUACCACAAGUAUAUUCUAGAACACCUGUGAAAUAACAAUAGUGAUUUUCUGUCAUUCAUUAACUUGUUGUAAAUCUUGUUAUUUUUAUUUGUUUGUUAUAAAUCUAUACACUAUUUGAUUAUUGAACUAAAAAACACGGGUUUUUGUCCUUGAGAGUCAUUGUUCAUUUGGGCUUUUAGUAAAUGUUAUCAUAACCUCCUAGAAAUCUAUAUAAAAUCAAUUAGCACACACAAAAAAUGUAUGCUGCUCGAUACAAUGUGAAGCAGAUUAAUGUGAAACAGAUUAUAAAACUCGUUCCCUACGCUCAGCCGAUAUGUACCAGUAUCAAUAUGACAAAAAGCUGAUGAUAGGUAAACUUAUAGGUCAUUUUCGAUUAGAAGGAGUUGUUUUCAUGACGAGUUUUAGCCUCCUGUAUCAUAAUCUGUUAUAUGAUACUAUCCUUUUUUAGCAUCAAAUUCAACUACGACUUCUUAAAACUUUUCGAUGACUGUACGUAUUCCCAUGGAGAUAUUUGAAAAAAAUGGGUUUAUCUUUUUUCCCUCUUUAAUUUUGCAUCUUCGAUUGGAAAUGUAUAUAUAUUUGCCUCCCCUGAACAGAUUUCCUCAUAUAUACACACAGAAACACACAGAACCUUUAGAAGACGUAUCACUUAAUAUUAUAUAAAAUAAUUUCUACAGAUUGUCCGAUAUCAAACUUUAUUUGUUUCUAAACUGCCGAACAUUUGGCAUUUUGAUAAGCGAACCAAUUUUGUGAUUUUAUGCUUUAUAAAUUGAGUAUCGACCGUCGUAUUUAUGGAAACUUGAUGAUAGUAAAGAUCCUGAGACACAAGUUUUACUACAAUAUGUCUAAUGAUUUUAACACUGGGAGUUGGAUAAACAGGAACGACCAGAAAUAGCAACCAUUCACUUUUCGCAUGAAAAGAAAAUUUUAAUGGCAUGGGUUGAAUUGAUAAUAACGAUGUUUCAUAGUCAAAUCGAUCUUAACGAGGUUUUAUUUUAUAUUAAUGAUGGAUAAAUUUAUAGAAAAUGCACCGAUCCUCAUCAUCUACAAAAUAAUGUUUCUUUUUUAUCCAUUUAUGAACGGUGUUUUAUCAUUGUGUUUGAUCUUUAACUUUAUCCCAAAAGUUAUUAAUUGGCAUAAAGAUGAAGAUUUAAUAUUGAUAAAUAUAAAAAAUACUUUGACCGACGCCAGACCUCUUUAACGAUAGUAGACUGUAGGGUCACUAUAGAUAUGAAAGAAAAUUUAUUUUUAUUUUAAGGAAUUGUACUUCGAAUAGAAUAAGACAAAAUUCUCCAUUUUUUGUUAUACAAAUAAUAUAUCGGAUUUUUAUUCAGGUUUACGAAGGACUUUGUAAUUAAUAAUCAAAUAAUUUUUCAUGAUGUAUUUAUAUUAGGGAUAUACUUGUGUAGUUUAUUUUCUUAACAAAUAUGGGGAAAACAUUGACCAAUCCCAAUUUGACGCCAAUAUUCAAAUUAAAAUCUCGAAGGACAGUAAUUUUUCAUUUUGAAGUUUAUUGACGCUAAACGUCAAAAGUUAAUUCUGUAAAAUUUGGUUUUGAAUGUCUACAGAAUUAAUAUUGCCUUGAUCUUAGAGGCUCUGUUUGAACCUUAUCGACACGCUAUCUUAAUGAAAGUGACUUUUUCAAGUCUUUACUAAAUUUUCCUUUUAUGUUUAUCAAGGCGAACGAACGUAAUUACACAUUUUGACAAUAUCACUUUUAAAUUUUACACAAAUCAAUACAAACAUAUUUCAUAUUUAGUUUUUCAUUUAAUUCUAUUUCAGGUGAUGAAUAAGAAGAUAAAAGAUGACUUUUGAUAGACCUAUAUUUUUGUAUAUGAUAUACCAGGUUUUUUUUCUGUAUUUUCUUCGUCAUUGAACUUUAUUUAUCAAUAAUAACUUUAUAAUGAUAACAUCAUCUUUACUGACGUAUGGUGGAAUAAUCACAUGUAAAGAAGAACUACGACAAUCCACUCUACAUGAGACUAGCGAGACCAGCGAGAUUCACAACAAUUCAAAGUAUCUGCCAAAAUCAUUUUCAUAGAUAACAUCUAUGCAACUAUGAAAGAUUGCUUAUGGUAUGUUUAUAUGACUUUUGUAUUUAAUGCACUAAUAACACACAAACAGCGUUCUGUCUCCAUGAAAUAUUUCCAUUGGACACUAAUAAUCAAUCAAUAUAGACAAUAUACGAAACACGUGAAAUACACCCUUUUAAUACAAAUUGACUCACGGAAGUAUGUUGCAUAUAAACUAAAUCGGUUAUAUAUUAGAAUUAUAACUUCCAGCAAAGAUUUUUUUUUACUGUGACCUGUUUAAUUCUAAGUACUCCUGUAAACUCGAGCGAUACUGAAAACAUAUAUUGUUGAAAUUUGCAUCUGGUGCAGAAAAACUGGUACCAAUAGUGUUUUAACUGUAGCCAAUCUUUUGGUGAAAUUUAUUUUUUGCUUCUGUUUACUUCAUAUAUUCAUAUAAUUAUAAUACUAAUAAAGUAUUGUUUAUUAAUAUAGGAGCAGCUGGCAGCCACUUUACAAUGCCGUAUACAGAUAAACAGACAAAUUCCGGUAAGCUAUUAUAUUCUUCUUGCUUCGACUUCCUAUAAGCAUAUUUAAAGGCAUCUUCGUUAUACUUCAAAUAUCAAAAUACGUACAUACUAAUCGAAAUAAGUCUCUGAAAACUAAGGAAAAUGCUCUACAACACGCACGACAAAACAUCUGAAUCAUUCCAUGUCAUUAUAACAUUGAAAGGAUGGGUAUUAAAUUCACAAAUAAUCGAUGAAACUGAUCUAAUCAAUGUUGGUUUUAAGAAAUAGACAGUAAAGUUAUUAUUUUAUGGUUAAGUUUAGUAAAUUAUACAUAAUUUAAAAUCCGACACAUGUGUAUUGCUAUAAUGGACUGUAUCAUCCCAGAAGUCGUUUUGAUUUUUCGCUUGUCUGAUUCUAUUUAUCAAGAAAUGAAUCAAGAGACCAGAUUGUCUUAGACGUUCAUCGCUACACGUGACAUCAAAGGGACAUAUUAGUUGGUGAUGCAUAAUCAUGUGUUUGACAAAGUAUAUUAUAAGGCGUGGUAAUACACAUCUGUUCAAUGCUAAAAGUAAUGCUUUCAUAUAAUGAAAAUGGCAGAUAACACUAGUAUGAUAUUGUCUAUUAUAGUAAAUGUUCGAAUAAAUCACGAGUUAAUAGUCCCCGAGAAGAAAUGUAAAAAAAUAAACGAAAAUCACUGAAAGUGUCUUAGCACUGGAUUGAGGUGUUUUUAUUCUUAGUAGAUGUGUAGAUAUCAUGGAUAAACUAUACAACUGAGAGUUCAGAGCAUAUUAAGAAGAUUUGUAAUGUUCGGUAGCGCUUUUAAAACUCCCUCGUUCGAAUUGCAAAAACAUGAGUAAGCUAGGUCGAGCGUGUGAAAAAACGACGAGACGUAAGGGUCUCUUGAAUCGUCUCUUUUUUGUCAUCUUGCAUUUGACAUUUAUAUAUACAUUAUAUGUGUCAUACAAAAUGCUAUACAACUGCAUACUGUUUAGAAACAUCAAACAACAUCAACAUAAAAAAACAUAAACAUACUUAUAUGCAAUGCAUCUGAGAUUUUUCCGAUUAUAAUGAUAAAUCAAUAUCCCCAUUAAGCACCUUAAUUGUUUCCUGGCUAAUUAAACACAUGUAGUGGGUAUUAAAUUUAAAUAGUAAGAGAAAAUACAG
rnacentral:lncRNA from 1 species